rnacentral:rRNA from 1 species
ACCCUCAAAUCAGUCAAGACUACCCGCUGAACUUAAGCAUAUCAGUAAGCGGAGGAAAAGAAACUAACAAGGAUUCCCCUAGUAAUGGCGAAUGAAGCGGGAACAGCUCAAAUUUUAAAUCUCAAUCUAUACGGUUGUGAAUUGUAGUUUAAAGGUAUGUGGAAUGGGAGGGAGCGAGGUUUAAAAGUUCCUUGGGAUAGGACGCCAUAGAGGGUGAGAGCCCCGUUCUAAACCGAUGCUCUUUCUGUCUUUCAUUUGCCAACGAGUCGAGUUGUUUGGGAUUGCAGCUCAAAGUAGGUGGUAAAUCUCAUCUAAGGCUAAAUAUUGGCAAGAGACCGAUAGUGAACAAGUACCGUGAGGGAAAGAUGAAAAGCACCUUGAAAAGGGAGUUAAAUAGUACGUGAAAUUGUUAAAAGGGAAGCGA